rnacentral:lncRNA from 1 species
CCGGUUUCACGAUUUGUGAGUAAAAUUGGUUUAUCUAUCUAUAUCGCUUGACAAAGACGACGGCGACGAUGAUGACGUCGUUUUGGCCGGCCGUUGGGACUUGGGAGUGUCCAUGGCGACCACUUACGUUGCGGGUAUACUUCAUUUCGUAUUUGACAAUUAUGUAUCUUUGAUCUGUGUUUGCUCAUUUCUACUAUGAAUGGGAGUUAGUGGACGAAAUCAAUAAUAGCAUAAAUUUGAGCUUUUGGUUGUGAUUAGUUUACUUUGUUAUGACAAAUUGUUACUUUGGAGCUCUUGAUCUCGAUUUUGGUUAAAAAAGUUUCGAUUAUUUUGUUUGUAAUAGACAAUUGCAGGUUUUAUUAUAUGAUUAGAUUCUAGUUGUUGAGUUUCUGGAGAUUUUUAUACGUGACUGUAGACUCAAAAACUCAAAUCAAGACUUAGAUUUCAUAUAAAUAGGCUGAGACAUAUUUGAUAUUUCACAUCCAUUUUUUUCAAGUGAUGAAGAUAUUAAGCAAAUGCUGUAACUGAGAACUUUAGUUUCUUACACAUCCUAGUGAGAUACAAGAUGAAGAAGACAAAGAAGAAGAGCCACUAAGUAUUGGUGUUCCAUGGAACAGGUCUGAGAGAUAGUUCUCCAAGUUAUCUGGCUUAAACCUCACCAGCAUCUCUAUGUUUCUCUCCUGGCUCAAUGUUGGUAAGUACUUGCUAUAAAACUCUCUGUAUUCCGGUACAAGUUUCUUUGCUAUGGAAACCUUUAGCUCGUCCCUCAGUUUUGCAUCUGGUAUGACACAUGAUGAUUGUUUCAUAUAUGCUUCUUCGAAUGCCGCGUGAAAUCUCUUGAAAUGUGUUUUGGCCUCCUCUGGUGAUAGUGUUGUGUUGGAUUUCUCUGGUAAAGAUAUGUAGACAUUGGCCCACGCUACCAUCUCGUAGUUUGCAGCAUAGCUUCUGAGUUUUGCUUCGUGCUUUGUGAGCCAGUCUUCUCCUAGGAGGUUCCUGAGGUGAGUUGAACGAACUGUAUCAACCACAAACUGAGUGUUGUUCACGAGGAAGAGGUAGGAGAGAGAAACAUCCUUGUAAUUCUCUGCUUUGAUGUCUAGUUUGCAUAGGAAAACCAGGAUGAGCCAUGCUAGAUGGACCGAGACUGUGUAGUUGUUGUCUUGUUCAUCUUCCAAGAUUGGAGCUGUGAAAUAAGAUUCUAGCAUACGGGUGUUUCUCUUAAGCGGAUACUCUGCAAGGAUCUCAGACAACACACGGCUGUAUUCAGAAAGUGCUGAUAUGAAACUCAUGGUUGAUCGACUCAGCUUGUGAAUCCCUCCUCCUGCAGUAAGUGCUUUCGAAGAAUCCUUCUGUAAUGUCGACUCAAAUUCCGUGAGACUUGUGUGGAUUGAUUCCUUGAGUUUCUUCAGCGAUGAGAGCACCAGAGUUUUGACAGCAGCUACUGAAUCAAAAUGGAAUAUCAGUUCUAUGUCUGGCCUAAGGUCAGAGAUUGCUGCAUAGAGGUCCAU